AUUGAACGCUGGCGGCAGGCUUAACACAUGCAAGUCGAACGAUGAUUAUCUAGCUUGCUAGAUAUGAUUAGUGGCGGACGGGUGAGUAACAUUUAGGAAUCUGCCUAGUAGUGGGGGAUAGCUCGGGGAAACUCGAAUUAAUACCGCAUACGACCUACGGGUGAAAGGGGGCGCAAGCUCUUGCUAUUAGAUGAGCCUAAAUCAGAUUAGCUAGUUGGUGGGGUAAAGGCCCACCAAGGCGACGAUCUGUAACUGGUCUGAGAGGAUGAUCAGUCACACCGGAACUGAGACACGGUCCGGACUCCUACGGGAGGCAGCAGUGGGGAAUAUUGGACAAUGGGGGCAACCCUGAUCCAGCCAUGCCGCGUGUGUGAAGAAGGCCUUUUGGUUGUAAAGCACUUUAAGCAGGGAGGAGAGGCUAAUGGUUAAUACCCAUUAGAUUAGACGUUACCUGCAGAAUAAGCACCGGCUAACUCUGUGCCAGCAGCCGCGGUAAUACAGAGGGUGCGAGCGUUAAUCGGAAUUACUGGGCGUAAAGCGAGUGUAGGUGGCUCAUUAAGUCACAUGUGAAAUCCCCGGGCUUAACCUGGGAACUGCAUGUGAUACUGGUGGUGCUAGAAUAUGUGAGAGGGAAGUAGAAUUCCAGGUGUAGCGGUGAAAUGCGUAGAGAUCUGGAGGAAUACCGAUGGCGAAGGCAGCUUCCUGGCAUAAUAUUGACACUGAGAUUCGAAAGCGUGGGUAGCAAACAGGAUUAGAUACCCUGGUAGUCCACGCCGUAAACGAUGUCUACUAGCCGUUGGGGUCCUUGAGACUUUAGUGGCGCAGUUAACGCGAUAAGUAGACCGCCUGGGGAGUACGGCCGCAAGGUUAAAACUCAAAUGAAUUGACGGGGGCCCGCACAAGCGGUGGAGCAUGUGGUUUAAUUCGAUGCAACGCGAAGAACCUUACCUGGUCUUGACAUAGUGAGAAUCCUGCAGAGAUGCGGGAGUGCCUUCGGGAAUUCACAUACAGGUGCUGCAUGGCUGUCGUCAGCUCGUGUCGUGAGAUGUUGGGUUAAGUCCCGCAACGAGCGCAACCCUUUUCCUUAUUUGCCAGCGGGUUAAGCCGGGAACUUUAAGGAUACUGCCAGUGACAAACUGGAGGAAGGCGGGGACGACGUCAAGUCAUCAUGGCCCUUACGACCAGGGCUACACACGUGCUACAAUGGUAGGUACAGAGGGUUGCUACACAGCGAUGUGAUGCUAAUCUCAAAAAGCCUAUCGUAGUCCGGAUUGGAGUCUGCAACUCGACUCCAUGAAGUCGGAAUCGCUAGUAAUCGCAGAUCAGAAUGCUGCGGUGAAUACGUUCCCGGGCCU
rnacentral:rRNA from 1 species